rnacentral:lncRNA from 1 species
GGGGGAGAGAGGAGCUCUGAUGAUGGAAGGUGGGAAGUGUUGGAUAUGGAGGAUGAAGGGUUUUUUGAUAGUGGGAAGAUGGAGGAUGAUCUGAUUGAAGGUGGACUCCCUGGUCAGCCAUCAGGGGUGUUGUUUAAGCAGUAUUCUGGUUAUGUAACUGUCAAUGAACUCAAAGGGCGAAACCUUUUCUAUUAUUUUGCUGAGGCAGCUGAGGAUCCAUCAUCUAAGCCUCU